rnacentral:rRNA from 1 species
AUUGAGCGCUGGCGGCAUGCCUUACACAUGCAAGUCGAACGGUAACGGGCCUUCGGGUGCCGACGAGUGGCGAACGGUGAGUAAUGCAUCGGAACGUACCUUUCAGUGGGGGAUAACGUAGCGAAAGUUACGCUAAUACCGCAUAUUCUGUGAGCAGGAAAGCAGGGGAUCGCAAGACCUUGCGCUGAUUGAGCGGCCGAUGUCAGAUUAGCUAGUUGGUGAGGUAAAGGCUCACCAAGGCGACGAUCUGUAGCGGGUCUGAGAGGAUGAUCCGCCACACUGGAACUGAGACACGGUCCAGACUCCUACGGGAGGCAGCAGUGGGGAAUUUUGGACAAUGGGGCAACCCUGAUCCAGCCAUGCCGCGUGAGUG